rnacentral:rRNA from 1 species
GACGGAGGGUGCAAACGUUCUCCGGAAUCAUUGGGCGUAAAGCGUACGUAGGCGGCUUAUCAAGUCUGGGGUCAAAGACCAGAGCUUAACUCUGGAAAGGCCUCGGAAACUAGCGAGCUGGAGUGAGGUAGAGGUUGCGGGAAUUCCCGGUGUAGCGGUGAAAUGCGUAGAUAUCGGGAAGAACACCUGAGGCGAAAGCGCGCGACUGGGCCUUAACUGACGCUGAGGCACGAAAGCGAGGGGAGCGAAUGGG